UCUAUCAUCUGAUUGAACAGAGAAUUGGUACUUGUGAACCUGGUAGAUCCUCAAACGGGUUGCGGGACCAGAAAGAAACACGGGCUCAACAAUUGUCGCGUGGGUCAAAAGUUGCAAGGUUUACACCAGAAGAAAGACCAAGAGGAAAAGUGUUAGUGACUGAUUAGUGGACUGUGAUGAAUGUAUGGGAAAAGGAGGGUCGUGAUGAGGGGGAAUCUUAGUGUAUCAUUCUGUUAGAUAAGUCCGCAAAUCUGCUCGUUGCUGGGGAAAAAAGAAAUCAUCUAGUUCAGUGGUUUUUCUGCUGCAUAAGCAGGAUGGAGUAUGGAAGCAACUGUGGAAUAAGUUGGACGUAUUUGAUGGCUUCAGAAAAUGUUGAGUGAUAAAUUCUGCUAGCUGCAUCAAGUAAUUGUUGUCUCGUUUGGUACGGAGUGGAGUUGGAGAAAUAAUUUUAUAUAUUUCAAAGCUCCUAGAAGUUGACAAAAGUAAGCAAAUAUUUCUUUAAAAAUGAAUUAAGAGCACACCAGAUGUUGGAAGAUCUGAGGUGAUUCUCAACGUGAGGGUUUGUUUGUAAGUUAUGGUUACAUGUACAGCCUAUUGAUUUCUAGAUAAAUAAAUUCUUUUAGCCUA